GACGAACCGAGCGAACGUUGUUCUGAAUUACUGGGCGUAAAGGGCUCGUAGGUGGCCAACUAAGUCAGACGUGAAAUCCCUCGGCUUAACCGGGGAACUGCGUCUGAUACUGGAUGGCUUGAGUUCGGGAGAGGGAUGCGGAAUUCCAGGUGUAGCGGUGAAAUGCGUAGAUAUCUGGAGGAACACCGGUGGCGAAGGCGGCAUCCUGGACCGACACUGACACUGAGGAGCGAAAGCCAGGGGAGCAAACGGG
rnacentral:rRNA from 1 species